UACGAAGGGGGCUAGCGUUGUUCGGAAUUACUGGGCGUAAAGGGCGCGUAGGCGGCGUGUCAAGACAGGCGUGAAAGCCCCGGGCUCAACCUGGGAACCGCGCUUGAGACUGGCAUGCUCGAGUUCGGGAGAGGAUGGUGGAAUUCCCAGUGUAGAGGUGAAAUUCGUAGAUAUUGGGAAGAACACCGAUGGCGAAGGCAGCCAUCUGGACCGACACUGACGCUGAGGCGCGAAAGCGUGGGGAGCAAACAGG
rnacentral:rRNA from 1 species